rfam:Gossypium arboreum cultivar AKA8401 contig_813_1, whole genome shotgun sequence.
UGUUAAAAAUUUAAUUUAUUUCUAUUGUUGAAACUGGUGUGACUAUUAAAAUAAUCAGAUAGUUAUAUGUAGCCUGCCACGUGUACCUUAUGCUAGCGUACAGGGACCAAUUUUUAAUUGUAAAAAUGGAUGGAAUUUUUAAUA